UUUGAUCCUGGCAUCAGGAAUAAGCUCGCUAACAAGGGUAACCGGUAACCGCUAGACGCUUUUGAUCCCUGUACAUUCGGAAAACCGCUCAACUAGGGGGGGAUAACUUCUGGAAACGGUCGCUAAUACCGCAUACGUCCCUACGGGGGAAAGGGGGGGAUCUUCGGACCUUGCGCUAUUGGAUGAGCCGAUGUCGGAUUAGCUAGUUGGUGGGGUAGGGGCUCACCUAGGCCACUAUCCCUAGCUGGUCUGAGAGGAUGAUCAGCCACACUGGAACUGAGACACGGUCCAGACUCCUACGGGAGGCAGCAGUGGGGAAUAUUGCACAAUGGGCGCAAGCCUGAUCCAGCCAUACCGCGUGUGUGAAGAACGCCUUCGGGUUGUAAAGCCCUUUUGGCGGAGAAGAA
rnacentral:rRNA from 1 species